rnacentral:piRNA from 1 species
GCCUUAUAGGAUCUUGAGCAUGGGUGUG